CAAUAGCGUAUAUUAAAGUUGUUGCAGUUAAAAAGCUCGUAGUUGGAUCUGUGGUGUGCGGUGGGCUCCGGGCACUUGUUGUCUGAGUAGCUCGCCGCUGCCAUCCUUGGGUGGAACCUGUGUGGCAUUAGGUUGUCGUGCAGGGGAUGCCCAUCGUUUACUGUGAAAAAAUUAGAGUGUUCAAAGCAGGCUUAUGCCGUUGAAUAUAUUAGCAUGGAAUAAUGAGAUAGGACUUUUUCGCUAUUUUGUUGGUUUGCGCGAAGAGGUAAUGAUUAGUAGGGACAGUUGGGGGUAUUCGUAUUCCAUUGUCAGAGGUGAAAUUCUUGGAUUUUUGGAAGACGAACUACUGCGAAAGCAUUUACCAAGGAUGUUUUCAUUAA
rnacentral:rRNA from 1 species